UGGGGAAUUUUCCGCAAUGGGCGAAAGCCUGACGGAGCAACGCCGCGUGAGGGAUGAAGGCCUCUGGGCUGUAAACCUCUUUUAUCAAGGAAGAAGAUCUGACGGUACUUGAUGAAUAAGCCACGGCUAAUUCCGUGCCAGCAGCCGCGGUAAUACGGGAGUGGCAAGCGUUAUCCGGAAUUAUUGGGCGUAAAGCGUCCGCAGGCGGUCUUGUANGUCUGUCGUCAAAGCGUGGAGCUUAACUCCAUUUAAGCGAUGGAAACUGCAAGACUAGAGUGUGGUAGGGGCAGAGGGAAUUCCCGGUGUAGCGGUGAAAUGCGUAGAUAUCGGGAAGAACACCAGUGGCGAAGGCGCUCUGCUGGGCCAUAACUGACGCUCAUGGACGAAAGCCAGGGGAGCGAAAGGGAUUAGAUACCCCUGUAGU
rnacentral:rRNA from 1 species